GACAAGUCGAACAGCUUCUUUCCUCCCGAGUGCUUGCACUCAAUUGGAAAGAGGAGUGGCGGACGGGUGAGUAACACGUGGGUAACCUACCCAUCAGAGGGGGAUAACACUUGGAAACAGGUGCUAAUACCGCAUAACAGUUUAUGCCGCAUGGCAUAAGAGUGAAAGGCGCUUUCGGGUGUCGCUGAUGGAUGGACCCGCGGUGCAUUAGCUAGUUGGUGAGGUAACGGCUCACCAAGGCCACGAUGCAUAGCCGACCUGAGAGGGUGAUCGGCCACACUGGGACUGAGACACGGCCCAGACUCCUACGGGAGGCAGCAGUAGGGAAUCUUCGGCAAUGGACGAAAGUCUGACCGAGCAACGCCGCGUGAGUGAAGAAGGUUUUCGGAUCGUAAAACUCUGUUGUUAGAGAAGAACAAGGACGUUAGUAACUGAACGUCCCCUGACGGUAUCUAACCAGAAAGCCACGGCUAACUACGUGCCAGCAGCCGCGGUAAUACGUAGGUGGCAAGCGUUGUCCGGAUUUAUUGGGCGUAAAGCGAGCGCAGGCGGUUUCUUAAGUCUGAUGUGAAAGCCCCCGGCUCAACCGGGGAGGGUCAUUGGAAACUGGGAGACUUGAGUGCAGAAGAGGAGAGUGGAAUUCCAUGUGUAGCGGUGAAAUGCGUAGAUAUAUGGAGGAACACCAGUGGCGAAGGCGGCUCUCUGGUCUGUAACUGACGCUGAGGCUCGAAAGCGUGGGGAGCAAACAGGAUUAGAUACCCUGGUAGUCCACGCCGUAAACGAUGAGUGCUAAGUGUUGGAAGGGUUUCCGCCCUUCAGUGCUGCAGCAAACGCAUUAAGCACUCCGCCUGGGGAGUACGACCGCAAGGUUGAACUCAAAGGAAUUGACUGUGGGCCCGCACAAGCGGUGGAGCAUGUGGUUUAAUUCGA
rnacentral:rRNA from 1 species